CUAAUGUUACCUAUUUAAAAAGUUAUGUUUAAAAUUUAAAAAAUUUUAUUUAAAAACCUGUGUGGGUCUCCUUUUGUUAGGUAAAAUAUCACUUUGGUGAUGUGGUAGCCGUACAGCUGUCAGUCCGUUCCUGCUUUCAAACUGUUCCAGGCCAAGAGCAGAGGGCAGGGUGAGUGUUUCAAAGUGGAGUGCAGAGGGAAAGGUAUUCACCAGGAAGCCGAAUUAGGAGGUGAAUGUUAGAUAACAUCCAGCUUUUCUGAUCCUCAGGAACUCUUCAAACUUCCAAUAUUCAUGCUGAGGGAACAAUGUUCACGGGCAUGGAGUCACAAAGAGACAUGGACCUGAAGGAAACUGUCACUUGCUUCAGUGGACUAGAGCAUGCGAUGGUCGGGAAAUCAUAGAGAGGCACUCACUCAUGGUUUACUAGGUUGAACUGUAUUUGUAAUGAAAUCAAGAGAAUGCAUAUCACUCAAACUCAAGGAGAAACUAAAUAAGAAUUUCAAAAUAUUAAAACUCAUCGGUCAUGGUCGUGGUCAUGAGUGCUUUGUAACCAGCUUUCUCCUGACCCUGAGAACACUGGCUAAUGACUCUGGAGGAGGACUUGAAUGA
rnacentral:lncRNA from 1 species